rnacentral:rRNA from 1 species
UACCUGAAGAAUAAGCACCGGCUAACUACGUGCCAGCAGCCGCGGUAAUACGUAGGGUGCGAGCGUUAAUCGGAAUUACUGGGCGUAAAGCGUGCGCAGGCGGUUAUACAAGACAGGCGUGAAAUCCCCGGGCUUAACCUGGGAAUGGCGCCUGUGACUGUAUAGCUAGAGUGUGUCAGAGGGGGGUAGAAUUCCACGUGUAGCAGUGAAAUGCGUAGAUAUGUGGAGGAAUACCAAUGGCGAAGGCAGCCCCCUGGGAUAACACUGACGCUCAUGCACGAAAGCGUGGGGAGCAAACAGGAUUAGAUACCCUGGUAGU